CUACUAAAAGCCAGUUUAAACGUAGAGACGCCAACCGACGCCAUAGUGCGAAAGAUUCGUUUAAAGUUUAAAUAGUUGAAAAUCACCUUCAGUGCCUAGAGAAAUAAGCUAAUCUUGAAUUGUUUAUUAACAGUAGUUAGCUUCGAGGCAUCACAUGUGCAACUAUUAGUACUCUUGAAUGAGUUAGAACCCGAAGCAAGAAAUCCCCUACAACGUAGGGUGCUUGCGUAGGAUUGGGCCACCCGUCAAAUUACCACCCACGAGCUCUGCCGACUUGAUGCGUAUGCACUUGCGCCGAGGACACUCGUGAGCACGUUUUCGUCCCGUACGAUUCAUCUCGUUUCUCAACCACACGAAAUCCGCCUACUGAAGCGCAACAUCAUCGAAUCACGCCUAACCGAUCCGACAAGAGCGACGGUUGGAAAGAUCGCUCGAUAACAUGCGGUCGUUGCGUCGAAUUUGUUUCCGAGGCGUAUGGUGAGACGACGAAUGAACUUUUCGCGCGGUGCUGGUUUUCAACGUCGAGUUUGGUAAGGUGUGUCCAACCUGGUUCGAAGCGUAGAAAACGGAGAGAGCGAACGUGAGAGUCAGCUGAAUUCGAUCCUUGUCGGGGCCCCGAUCAACGCGUCGUUGGACCUUCAGCGCCGGCAAGUACUCAUAAGACACAUAGUUAGGUUGAGAGAAGGUCAGGGUAGCUAGGAGAGAAUUUGUGCACACUGAAAUUGG